rnacentral:rRNA from 1 species
GCUUGUCUCAAAGAUUAAGCCAUGCAUGUCUCAGUAUAAACUUCUAUACGGUGAAACUGCGAAUGGCUCAUUAAAACAGUUAUAAUUUAUUUGAUGGUCGCUUACUACAUGGAUAACUGUGGUAAUUCUAGAGCUAAUACAUGCGUCAAACCUCGACUUCUGGGAGAGGUGUAUUUAUUAGAUGGAAACCAAUGCGGGGCAACCCGGUAUAUGGUGAUUCAUAAUAACUUUCGGAUCGAUCUUCGGAUCGAUGCAUCAUUCAAGUUUCUGCCCUAUCAGCUUUGGAUGGUAGGGUAUUGGCCUACCAUGGCUUUAACGGGUAACGGAGAAUUAGGGUUCGAUUCCGGAGAGGGAGCCUGAGAAAUGGCUACCACAUCCAAGGAAGGCAGCAGG